ensembl:miRNA MIR372 microRNA 372
GUGAUCCUCAAAUGUGGAGCACUAUUCUGAUGUCCAAGUGGAAAGUGCUGCGACAUUUGAGCGUCAC